rnacentral:rRNA from 1 species
UACGUAGGGGGCUAGCGUUGUCCGGAUUUAUUGGGCGUAAAGAGCGUGUAGGCGGCCAGGUAGGUCUGGUGUGAAAACUCGAGGCUUAACCUCGAGAUGUCAUCGGAAACCAUCUGGCUAGAGUCCGGAAGAGGAGAGUGGAAUUCCUGGUGUAGCGGUGAAAUGCGCAGAUAUCAGGAGGAACACCUAUGGCGAAGGCAGCUCGCUGGGACGGUACUGACGCUGAGACGCGAAAGCGUGGGGAGCGAACAGG